rnacentral:rRNA from 1 species
CCUGAAACCGGAUGCUUACAAGCAGUUGGAGCCUCUUUAUGAGGUGACAGCGUACCUUUUGUAUAAUGGGUCAGCGACUUAAUCUCAUUAGCAAGCUUAAGCCAUUUAGGUGUAGGCGAAGCGAAAGCGAGUCUGAAUAGGGCGAUUUAGUUAAUGGGAUUAGACUCGAAACCGAGUGAUCUAGUCAUGAGCAGGUUGAAAGUGAAGUAAAAUUCACCGGAGGACCGAACCCACUAGCGUUGAAAAGCUACGGGAUGACUUGUGAUUAGGGGUGAAAGGCCAACCAAACUCGGAAAUAGCUAGUUCUCCGCGAAAACUAUUUAGGUAGUGCGUCGUGUGAAUCUUGUCGGGGGUAGAGCACUGAAUGGGCUAGGGGGAAGCAAUUCCUACCAAACCUAAUCAAACUCCGAAUACCGAUAAGUCUGCACGGCAGACAGUCCAUGGGUGCUAAGGUCCUUGGACGAGAGGGAAACAGCCCAGAUCAACAGCUAAGGUCCCCAAAUAAUGAUUAAGUGUGAAAGGGAGUGGGAACUCCAAGACAGCCAGGAGGUUGGCUUAGAAGCAGCCAUCCUUUAAAGAAAGCGUAACAGCUCACUGGUCUAAUUAAGAGAUCCUGCACCGAAAAUGUAACGGGGCUCAAAUCAUUUACCGAAGCUUUGACAAUUACUUUGUAAUUGGGUAGCGGAGCGUUCUGUAAGCCUGUAAAGGUGAUGCGUAAGCAUUGCUGGAGGUAUCAGAAGUGCGAAUGCUGACAUGAGUAACGAUAAGAAAUGUGAAAGACAUUUCCGCCGAAAUCCUAAGGUUUCCUGCGUAAAGCUAAUCUGCGCAGGGUUAGUCGGCCCCUAAGGCGAGGGCGAAAGCCGUAGUCGAUGGGAAGCAGGUUAAUAUUCCUGCACCAGCUGGUAGUGACGGAUGAAGUAAAUUGUAAGUUCUUACUGGAUUGAGCUUGCAGUGAAUUUGUCCCUGGAAAUAGCUCCAGCAUUAGACCGUACCAAAACCGACACAGGUAGGAGGGUAGAGAAUACCAAGGCGCUUGAGAGAACUAUGUUGAAGGAACUCGGCAAAUUACACUUGUAACUUCGGGAUAAAAGUGACCUGCUAUUGGGCAACCAGUAGGAGGUGGCACAGAAGAGGGGGUAGCGACUGUUUACUAAAAACAUAGCACUAUGCAAAGUCGAAAGACGACGUAUAUGGUGUGACGCCUGCCCGGUGCCGGAAGGUUAAUAGGAGGGGUGCAAGCCCUGAAUUGAAGCCCCGGUGAACGGCGGCCGUAACUAUAACGGUCCUAAGGUAGCGAAAUUCCUUGUCGGGUAAGUUCCGACCUGCACGAAUGGCGUAACGAUUUCCCCACUGUCUCCAACAUAGACUCAGUGAAAUUGAAUUCUCGGUUAAGAUGCCGAGUAACCGUGGUUAGACGGAAAGACCCCGUGCACCUUUACUGCAGCUUUGUAUUGGUAUUAGGGAACAGAUGUGUAGCAUAGGUGGGAGACUUUGAAGGAGUGGCGCUAGCCAUUCUGGAGUCACCAGUGAAAUACCACUCUUCUGUUCCUUGAUGCCUAACCAUACACCGUUAUCCGGUGUUGGGACCAUGCAUGGUGGGCAGUUUGACUGGGGCGGUCGCCUCCCAAAGAGUAACGGAGGCGCGCGAUGGUAGGCUCAGAACGCUUGGAAACCGUUCGUCGAGUGCAAUGGCAUAAGCCUGCCUGACUGCGAGACCCACAAGUCGAGCAGAGACGAAAGUCGGUCAUAGUGAUCCGGUGGCACUUCGUGGAAGGGCCAUCGCUCAACGGAUAAAAGGUACGCCGGGGAUAA